UACGUAGGGUGCGAGCGUUAAUCGGAAUUACUGGGCGUAAAGCGUGCGCAGGCGGUUUUGUAAGCCAGAUGUGAAAUCCCCGGGCUCAACCUGGGAACUGCAUCUGUGACUGCAUUGCUGGAGUACGGCAGAGGGGGAUGGAAUUCCGCGUGUAGCAGUGAAAUGCGUAGAUAUGCGGAGGAACACCGAUGGCGAAGGCAAUCCCCUGGGCCUGUACUGACGCUCAUGCACGAAAGCGUGGGGAGCAAACAGG
rnacentral:rRNA from 1 species